rnacentral:rRNA from 1 species
AUCUACAGUCAUUCAACCAUGAAUGUGUCCAAUCUUGACUGCAACUAAACAGGGUUGGGCCUGAUUAAUAACUUAGAUGGGAGAUUAUUUGGGAAUAUUAGAUUCUAUAGGCU